AUUGAACGCUGGCGGCAUGCCUUACACAUGCAAGUCGAACGGUAACAGGUCUUCGGAUGCUGACGAGUGGCGAACGGGUGAGUAAUACAUCGGAACGUGCCCGAGAGUGGGGGAUAACGAAGCGAAAGCUUUGCUAAUACCGCAUACGAUCUCAGGAUGAAAGCAGGGGACCGCAAGGCCUUGCGCCCACGGAGCGGCCGAUGGCAGAUUAGGUAGUUGGUGGGAUAAAAGCUUACCAAGCCGACGAUCUGUAGCUGGUCUGAGAGGACGACCAGCCACACUGGGACUGAGACACGGCCCAGACUCCUACGGGAGGCAGCAGUGGGGAAUUUUGGACAAUGGGCGCAAGCCUGAUCCAGCCAUGCCGCGUGCAGGAUGAAGGCCUUCGGGUUGUAAACUGCUUUUGUACGGAACGAAAAGACUCCUUCUAAUAAAGGGGGUCCAUGACGGUACCGUAAGAAUAAGCACCGGCUAACUACGUGCCAGCCGCCGCUGUAAUAC
rnacentral:rRNA from 1 species